AUUGAACGCUGGCGGCAGGCUUAACACAUGCAAGUCGAGCGGGGUGAUGGUGCUUGCACUAUCACUUAGCGGCGGACGGGUGAGUAAUGCUUAGGAAUCUGCCUAUUAGUGGGGGACAACAUCUCGAAAGGGAUGCUAAUACCGCAUACGUCCUACGGGAGAAAGCAGGGGCUCACUUGUGACCUUGCGCUAAUAGAUGAGCCUAAGUCGGAUUAGCUAGUUGGUGGGGUAAAGGCCUACCAAGGCGACGAUCUGUAGCGGGUCUGAGAGGAUGAUCCGCCACAAUGGGACUGAGACACGGCCCAGACUCCUACGGGAGGCAGCAGCGGGGAAUAUUGGACAAUGGGGGGAACCCUGAUCCAGCCAUGCCGCGUGUGUGAAGAAGGCCUUAUGGUUGUAAAGCACUUUAAGCGAGGAGGAGGCUCUUUUGGUUAAUACCCAAGAUGAGUGGACGUUACUCGCAGAAUAAGCACCGGCUAACUCUGUGCCAGCAGCCGCGGUAA
rnacentral:rRNA from 1 species